CGAGUUAACUAUGCAGUCGCUUGCUUUGGGCAAGAGGAAAGUCCGAACUUCGCAAGGCAAAGUGCUGGCUAACGGCCAGGUGUCGUGAGGCAACGGAAAGUGCAACAGAAAAAUACCGCCGAAGUGUUAUCCAGUAUAACGCUGGUAAGGGUGAAAUGGUAGUGUAAGAGACUACCACUCUGAUAGUGAUUGANNNNNNUCUAUCCAAACAGGGUCGCCUGCUCUGAGUUUCCGGGUAGUUCGUUAAAAGUAUUUAGUAAUAGAUACUGUAGAUGAAUGACUGCACAAGACAGAAUUCGGCUUAUAGGUUAACUCGCUUA
rnacentral:RNase_P_RNA from 1 species